rnacentral:rRNA from 1 species
CACCCUUCGGGGUGUGGAAAGUGGCGGACGGGUGAGGAACACGUAGGAACCUACCCUAGGGUACGGGAUAACCCAUGGAAACGUGGGCUAAUACCGUAUAAUGCCUUCGGGCCAAAGAUUUAUCGCCCUAGGAUGGGCCUGCGUCAGAUUAGGUUGUUGGUGAGGUAAUGGCUCACCAAGCCUACGAUCUGUAGCUGGUCUGAGAGGAUGAUCAGCCACACUGGGACUGAGACACGGCCCAG